GCCACACCAUAGUCAUAGAGCAAGAGGACUCAGAUACAGUUUGGUUGGUCCUUUACCUUCAAAAGUUCAAGUGCUGGCUGCCGAGACUUCUCCAACUCAGUGAUCAGGGUCCCAAGCUGGACCACCUCCUCAGAAUCCUUGAUGACACGGCUGUUCCUCCUUUUGAGACACUUAUUGAUGCAAAGGAGACUGAACAGUGAAGGAUCUCACUCAGAAUCCUGUCCACAAUCUGUCCAGUUUACACCUUCCCCCAAAGAGAGGUAGCCUGUUAUACAACGUUCUUCACCUUAUUCUCUCACUUCACAAUAUAUCUUGGAGAUCUUACCAAAAGCACACAGAGACCUCCUGCGUUGUGAUUAGCUUUUCAUUGCAUAAUAUUCCAUUGUUCGUGUGUGUGUGAGUGUUUAGUUAGUCUCAAAUUGAUAGGUGCACGAAUUUUCCCAAUCUUUUGUUAAGGCAAACAGUAUUGAAUAAACGUAUACAUAAUA